GCUGGCUCAUUUAAAACACAGAGAACUUGUCGGAAGAUAGGUGGUGCAAAGCCCAAGGAACUGCUGAAGAGGCUGCAUCGAAGAUCCAGCAUCCACAGUGUACAUCAUGGAAUCCAGACUGUGCCAAUUGACAGCAAUAGAGAGGCCUCAGGAGAAGCUAAGGAUUUGCUAACUGUGAAGAAAAAGAUUCUGUGUUUCACCACACUGCAAGCCUUGAAACCACAGAAGCAGUGAGCAAGCUAACAUUUAUUCUAAAGAUAAACAUGAAAUCCAGGGUUUAAGAAAAUGAUUUUGUGCCAGUACAGCAACAGAAGACAAAUGAAAAUAAGAAUUAUGAGUGAAUCAACUCUAUGUACAUGUAAGAAACAUCAUGAAA
rnacentral:lncRNA from 10 species